rnacentral:rRNA from 1 species
AACGAACGCUGGCGGCAGGCUUAACACAUGCAAGUCGAGCGCCCCGCAAGGGGAGCGGCAGACGGGUGAGUAACGCGUGGGAAUCUACCCAUCACUACGGAACAACUCCGGGAAACUGGAGCUAAUACCGUAUACGUCCUUCGGGAGAAAGAUUUAUGGGGGCUGGAUGGGCCCGCGGUGGAUUAGCUAGUUGGUGGGGUAAUGGCCCACCAAGGCGCCGAUCCAUAGCGGGUCUGAGAGGAGGAUCAGCCACACUGGGACUGAGACACGGCCCAGAGUCCUACGGGAGGCAGCAGUGGGGAAUAUUGGACAAUGGGCGCAAGCGUGAUCCAGCCAUGCCGCGUGAGUGAUGAAGGCCCUAGGGUUGUAAAGCUCUUUCACCGGUGAAGAUAAUGACGGUAACCGGAGAAGAAGCCCCGGCUAACUUCGUGCCAGCAGCCGCGGUAA